AUGGAAGCGGAAAACGCGGGCAGCUAUUCCCUGGUAAAGCUCAAGCAUUUUAUUCAUUUCCAUUUCAACAAAUGAUGACUGAAGCUCCUGAUGUGGCAGUCAUGAAGGAACAGCAGAUGCCAGGCGAACUUCCAGCCCCAGAGCCUGCUCAGGAACCAGUACAAGAGGCUCCAAAAGGAAGGAAAAGAAAAGCCAGAACAACUGAACCAAAAAAACCAGAGGAACCCAAAAAAACCUGCUGAGUCCAAGAAGUCUGGCAAGUCCCCAAAAUCAAAAGAAAAGCAAGAAAAGAUUACAGAUGCGUUUAAAGUAAAAAGAAAAGUGGACCGUUUUAAUGGGGUUUCCGAAGCUGAACUUUUGACCAAGACUCUCCCUGAUAUUUUGACCUUCAAUCUGGACAUUGUGAUUAUUGGCAUCAACCCAGGACUAAUGGCUGCUUACAAAGGGCAUCAUUAUCCUGGACCUGGGAACCGUUUUUGGAAGUGUCUGUUUAUGUCAGGGCUGAGUGAGGUGCAGCUCAAUCACAUGGAUGAUCACACUUUACCAGGGAACUAUGGUAUUGGAUUUACCAACAUGGUAGAACCGACGACGCCAAGCAGCAAGGAUCUUUCCAGUAAAGAAUUUCGUGAAGGAGGACGUAUUCUAGUACAGAAAUUACAGAAAUAUCAGCCACGAAUAGCAGUGUUUAAUGGAAAAUGUAUUUAUGAAAUUUUUAGUAAAGAAGUUUUUGGAGUAAAGGUUAAGAACUUGGAAUUUGGGCUUCAACCCCAUAAGAUCCCAGAUACAGAAACUCUCUGCUAUGUUAUGCCAUCGUCCAGUGCAAGGUGUGCUCAGUUUCCUCCAGCCCAGGACAAAGUCCAUUACUAUAUUAAGCUAAAGGACUUAAGAGACCAGUUGAAAGGCAUUGAACUGAACGCAGACGUUCAGGAGGUGCAGUACAUGUUUGAUCUACAGCUUGCCCAAGAGGAUGCAAAGAAGAUGGCAGUUAAGGAAGAAAAAUAUGACCCAGGCUAUGAAGCAGCGUAUGGAGGUGCUUACGCUGAGCAUCUGGGCAACAGUGAGCCAUGCAACUUCUCUGAGGACAGGCUAACAGCUGACAGUGCAGAGUUAAGAGGAGAAUCAGCAUUCAGUGACAUUCCAAAUGGGCAGUGGAUGACCCAGUCGUUUACAGACCAGAUUCCUUCCUUUAAUAAUCACUGUGGAAAACUGGAGCAGGGGGAAGGGAACCCUGCUUAAGAGUGGUGAUUCUGGGCUCUGCCUACGUGCUGCAGUUUAAUGCAGUUGUCAAGAAGUCAAACCUCGGUUUGCUAGCCGAG